GGAAUAGGUUCAAAAACGCCAGCUAAUGUACCAGAGACAGAUCUUGGGCCCACUGCUAGGGGCCCACGAAUAGACCAAGCUGCACAACUAUCACCCACAUGCAGAGGGCCUAGUCCACCAUCAAAGGAAAUCGGGGAAGGAACUCAAGGCAGGAACCUAGAGACACAGUAAAAUAACUAACAUCUCCAGUGAAGAAGAGGAAAAGUGUUUGAAGAUGCCAGAGAGAAGAACAAAAGUCAUGAAUCUAUGCCUUUUUGUGAUUUUUUUCUGUAAAUUAUAUGCUGUAAUAUGGCUAUUAAUACAGGAUUUUUGCAGAAAAUUCUGAGAAUUAAAGAC